rnacentral:rRNA from 1 species
AGCGAACGCUGGCGGCAGGCUUAACACAUGCAAGUCGAACGGGCAUAGCAAUAUGUCAGUGGCAGACGGGUGAGUAACGCGUGGGAACGUACCUUUUGGUUCGGAACAACACAGGGAAACUUGUGCUAAUACCGGAUAAGCCCUUACGGGGAAAGAUUUAUCGCCGAAAGAUCGGCCCGCGUCUGAUUAGCUAGUUGGUAGGGUAAUGGCCUACCAAGGCGACGAUCAGUAGCUGGCUGAGAGGAUGAUCAGCCACCAUUGGGACUGAGACACGGCCCAAACUCCUACGGGAGGCAGCAGUGGGGAAUAUUGGACAAUGGGCGAAAGCCUGAUCCAGCCAUGCCGCGUGAGUGAUGAAGGCCCUAGGGUUGUAAGCUCUUUGUGCGG